GUGAUUAGACAAGUCAGUGCAGCAGGACCUGCUCAGAGAAGAGGCAGCCAGUGUCUCCUGUCUCAUCCACCCUAAGAAUGGUCCGCAAGGCAAUGCAGCAAACAAGGUCUCUUAAAUUUGGAAGACAGUGUUUCCUUGUUCACUUUCUUUCCAUUCGCACUGGCUCUGAGAUUUCUCCCAACACAAAUAUUCAUGAGAGGUGAAAGGAGAAUAUUGAUGAAGAUUAUUUUCAUUUAUGACUGAGGAAGUAUGAAUAAACUUGCCAAUUCAUGAACACUUUCAAGAAGAGUGAAUACUCCAUCCGGUCAUGAGCUUAACAUCUUCAUGUUCAGGAGGAAUUAUGAAUAAACUUUCCAAUUCAUGAACACUUUGAAGAAGAGUGAAUACUCCAUCCGGUCAUGAGCUUAACAUCUUCAUGUUCAGGAGAACAAGAUAAUUAAACUGCACCUUCACGGAAAUGGAUCCUGGAGAGCAUUUAUCAAACACAGGUACUGUAAAUAUAAAACCAGUGAAUAUGGAUGUGCAGGUAUGCUAGUAGUUUGAUAUGGGUUCUUUUUGGUAUGUGACCAAGAAUGCUAUAGUUAGAUAAUGUGGUAAACAUAUUCUUAGUUUAUUUCAUAACCUAAACACUGAUUUCCAUAGUACUUAUAUCAGUUUGCACUCCUACCAGAGUUCCUCUUUCCAUGUUUCUGUGACAGCAUUGGUUUAAUUUGUAUAUUUAUCUUAGCUAUUCUCAUUGGUAUAAGAUUAUAUCUCUAAAUGUUUUUAAUUUUCAUUCAUGAGAAGUAAACAUGUUGAAUGUAUUUAUAAUACUUCUCAGCCAUUUGUGUUUCCUCUUUUCAGAAUUUUAUAUUUUGUUUGCUGGCCCAUUUUGAAAAUUCUAUAUUUUUGAGAUUAUAACUUAUAUUUCUCUAUUUUCUUCCCUCCUUCCAAUCCCUCUAAUUUUCCUACCUCCAUGAACUCAUUCAAAUCAAUGGCCUCUUUCACGAUUAGUUGUUACUGAGUGAAUAUAUGUAUAUACUUAUAUACUCAAGACCCUCUUGAAGUAGAUUGCUUUUCAUAAUAUUACAUUUUAGAAAUAAUUUGUAUAUUCCAAAAUUUCUCUAUUAAACAUAUACGUGAAAGAGAUUUUUUUCCAAACUAAAUGCUAUUCCUUCAAUUUAAUGAUGGUGUCCUUUGCUGUACAAAAACUUUUCAGCUUUAUGAAGUUACAUUUAUUACUUGUAGAGCUUUCUGUUUGCCAGGGUCCAGCCUCAAAACAGGAUCAGAGUUCUCAACUGGAAGCAGGGAUAUCUGGAAGGUGUAUAAUAAAUAUACACAGACUACAUUUGGGUACAAACUGACAGGAAAUUUCAAGGCUUAAACUCACUCUCUCUCUCUCUCUCUCUCUCUCUCUCUCUCUCUCUCUCUGUCUCUCACAGCUUGAGGCUACACACAUUCUGCAUUCUCUUGAGCACUCUGAAUUUUUUAUUGCAUUUUUCUUUUCUCAAACUGCAACACUUAUGCACACCUCUGUUCAUUACCCUUUCAUUCUCAUACACACUGUUGAUACACACCUCACACAUAUCUCACAC
ensembl:lncRNA